UAAUCACUUCCCUGGAAGGGCAGGCAUAACGUACCUGAUACAAAUGGGAUAACUGGUUUAUAGACUGUCUUCUACCAAAUGAUUUAUCAGUCUUGCUCCUCUCCUGAUGGUGUGGGGCUCAAAGGUCCUUUGAAAUCAAAUGUUUGGUCUGAAGAAACAUUCUAUGAUGAUAUCCUGACUGGUUGUGUCAUGGCCUGUUGUGGCAAUUCCAACGCACAGGAACGCAAGAGGCUGCAGAGUUGUGGACACAGCCCUCCCCACCACUGACAGCACCUACAGGAGGCGCUGCCUCAAGAAGGCGGCAUCUAUCAUCAAGCAUCCCCACCAUCCGGGCAAUGCCCUCUUCUCACUGCUACUAUCGGGCAGGAGGUACAGAAGCCUGAAGUCACACACCACCAGGUUCAAGAACAGCUACUUCCCUUCAAUCAUCAGGUUCCUAAACCGACCUGAUGAAGUUGCAACA